AGCUAAAAUUGUCAUAGCUUUACGGACAACCAAGUAUUUAGACAACACUUUUUAAUUAAGGAGAACAUUCUUUAGUUAUGGAUCACGUUGUAUGUCGGGUUUUUGGUAUCUUGCUAGUUAUGGUCACAUAUUCUGCUUAUAGUGUUGAAGGAGCUGAUGUCGCUUAUGGUUUGACUUGUACUGAUGGUUCUGAUUCGUGUAUUGGUACAGGAAGUCAUGCGUGUAUCGAUUCAGUUUGUGCAUGUGCCACCACUGCUUUCAGAAAUAAUGCUAACGA